rnacentral:rRNA from 1 species
GAUGAACGCUAGCGGCAGGCCUAAUACAUGCAAGUCGAACGGUGUAGCAAUACACAGUGGCGCACGGGUGCGUAACACGUAUGCAACCUACCUUACAUUGGGGGAUAGCCUUUCGAAAGGGAGAUUAAUACCUCAUAAGACAGUAACUAGGCAUCUAGUAGCUGUCAAAGAUUUAUCGAUGUAAGCUGGGCAUGCGUCCAAUUAGUUAGUUGGCGAGGUAAUGGCUCACCAAGACGAUGAUUGGUAGGGGAACUGAGAGGUCAAUCCCCCACACUGGCACGGAGAUACGGGCCAGACUCCUACGGGAGGCAGCAGUAGGGAAUAUUGGGCAAUGGGCGCAAGCCUGACCCAGCCAUGCCGCGUGCAGGAAGAAGGCGUUAUGCGUUGUAAACUGCUUUUAUACAGGAAGAAACGACCCUUGCGAGGGGCAUUGACGGUACUGUAUGAAUAAGCACCGGCUAACUCCGUGCCAGCAGCCGCCGCUGUAA